GAUGAACGCUAGCUACAGGCUUAACACAUGCAAGUCGCGGGGCAGCAUGUCGGUUGCUUGCAACCGAUGAUGGCGACCGGCGCACGGGUGAGUAACGCGUAUCCAACCUGCCCUUCACCACGGAAUAAUCCAGUGAAAAUUGGUCUAAUACCGUAUGAGGUCAUACGAUGGCAUCAGAAUAUGACGAAAGGUUUGGCGGUGAAGGAUGGGGAUGCGUCUGAUUAGCUUGUGGGUGAGGUAACGGCUCACCAAGGCGAGGAUCAGUAGGGGUUCUGAGAGGAAGGUCCCCAAAAUUGGAAAUGAGACGCGGUCCAAACUCCUACGGGAGGCAGCAGUGAGGAAUAUUGGUCAAUGGGCGAGAGCCUGAACCAGCCAAGUAGCGUGCAGGAAGACGGCCCUAUGGGUUGUAAACUGCUUUUAUAUGGGGAUAAAGUGAGCUACGUGUAGUUUAUUGCAGGUACCAUAUGAAUAAGGACCGGCUAAUUCCGUGCCAGCCGCCGCCGUAA
rnacentral:rRNA from 1 species